rnacentral:lncRNA from 1 species
AGCCUCGGGUGGCAGGCAGGGCCAGGCUGGGCCGGGCGGGACCCUGGACUGAGUCCUGCCUUGCGUCUGGCCACCAGCCCAAGGCACACCCCUGAGGGACUUCACCCCGGCCUGGCUGCAGCCCCACGGCCCGCCCUGCUGGCCCUACGGGUGGCUUUACAGUGGAAGCUGAUCUUUGGUCUCAGGUGAAAGCUAGGUUGGAGCUGUCCGGGUUUCUGUACAUUGCCCUCGCGGUCCUAUUCUCUUGUUUCGCUGGAAAGUCAAGUGAGGAGAAAGGGGGCAACCAGGCAUAUUGGUGUACGCCUGAGUCAGGAGGAUCAGAAGUUCAAGGGUUCUGAAACAAUGGGAUAUACAAAGCAGAAGUAGUUCAAACAAGGUAAAGACAGAAUAAACAAUGACAAUUAGCCAAAGAACAGCUUGAAAUGCCUGUUUCCUAAGUGUUGAGAUCAGGCCUUGCCUCACUCUAAGUUAUGCCAUCUUAUGUAAAACUGUGUGUUUUCAGGCUGUGCCUUGCCUGGGGAGAGUGUUUCACAAGUAGCAUUGAGCUUCAUUUUGAGUGCAAACACGAAGACACAUGACUCUGAACCGUGUGCACAUAAAACACCACCAUUCUCCCAGCACCCACAAAACACAGAC